rnacentral:rRNA from 1 species
AGCAGAGCUUGCUCUGUGGGUGGCGAGUGGCGACGGGUGAGUAAUGCAUCGGGACCUACCCAGACGUGGGGGAUAACGUAGGGAAACUUACGCUAAUACCGCAUACGUCCUACGGGAGAAAGCGGGGGAUCGCAAGACCUCGCGCGGUUGGAUGGACCGAUGUGCGAUUAGCUUGUUGGUGAGGUAACGGCUCACCAAGGCGACGAUCGCUAGCUGGUCUGAGAGGAUGAUCAGCCACACUGGGACUGAGACACGGCCCAGACUCC